rnacentral:rRNA from 1 species
UACGUAGGGCGCAGGCGUUAAUCGGAAUUACUGGGCGUAAAGCGUGCGCAGGCGGUUUGCUAAGACAGGUGUGAAAUCCCCGGGCUUAACCUGGGAACUGCGCUUGUAACUGGCAAGCUAGAGUGUGGCAGAGGGGGGUGGAAUUCCACGUGUAGCAGUGAAAUGCGUAGAGAUGUGGAGGAACACCGAUGGCGAAGGCAGCCCCCUGGGCUAACACUGACGCUCAUGCACGAAAGCGUGGGGAGCAAACAGG